rnacentral:rRNA from 1 species
GACGAACGCUGGCGGCGUGCUUAACACAUGCAAGUCGAGCGGUAAGGCCUUUCGGGGUACACGAGCGGCGAACGGGUGAGUAACACGUGGGUGACCUGCCUUUAGCUUCGGGAUAAGCCUGGGAAACCGGGUCUAAUACCGGAUAUGACCUCAUGUCGCAUGGUGUGGGGUGGAAAGUUCUUCGGCUAGAGAUGGGCCCGCGGCCUAUCAGCUUGUUGGUGGGGUGAUGGCCUACCAAGGCGACGACGGGUAGCCGGCCUGAGAGGGCGACCGGCCACACUGGGACU